rnacentral:rRNA from 1 species
UUCCUUCGGGAAGCGAGCGUACACAGGUGCUGCAUGGCUGUCGGUCAGCUCGUGUCGUGAGAUGUUGGGUUAAGUCCGUAACGAGCGCAACCCUUGUCCUUAGUUACCAGCACGUUAUGGUGGGCACUCUAAGGAGACUGCCGGUGACAAACCGGAGGAAGGUGGGGAUGACGUCAAGUCAUCAUGGCCCUUACGGCCUGGGCUACACACGUGCUACAAUGGUCGGUACAAAGGGUUGCCAAGCCGCGAGGUGGAGCUAAUCCCAUAAAACCGAUCGUAGUCCGGAUCGCAGUCUGCAACUCGACUGCGUGAAGUCGGAAUCGCUAGUAAUCGUGAAUCAGAAUGUCACGGUGAAUACGUUCCCGGGCCUU